rnacentral:rRNA from 1 species
AUUGAACGCUGGCGGCAUGCCUUACACAUGCAAGUCGAACGGUAACGCGGGGCAACCUGGCGACGAGUGGCGAACGGGUGAGUAAUGCAUCGGAACGUGCCUGGUAGUGGGGGAUAACUGCUCGAAAGAGCAGCUAAUACCGCAUAGGACCUGAGGGUGAAAGGGGGGGGAUCGCAAGACCUCUCGCUAUCAGAGCGGCCGAUGUCGGAUUAGCUAGUUGGUGAGUAAAGGCCCACCAAGGCAACGAUCCGUAGCUGGUCUGAGAGGACGACCAGCCACACUGGGACUGAGACACGGCCCAGACUCCUACGGGAGGCAGCAGUGGGGAAUUUUGGACAAUGGACGCAAGUCUGAUCCAGCCAUGCCGCGUGCGGGAAGAAGGCCUUCGGGUUGUAAACCGCUUUUGUCAGGGAAGAAAUCUUCUGGGCUAAUACCCUGGGAGGAUGACGGUACCUGAAGAAUAAGCACCGGCUAACUACGUGCCAGCCGCCGCCGUAACAC